UACAGAGGGUGCGAGCGUUGUCCGGAAUCACUGGGCGUAAAGGGCGCGGUAGGUGGCGCUGCAAGUCGGUGGUGAAAGCUCGGCCGCUUAACGGCGAGUCGGCCAUCGAAACUGCAGGGCUUGAGCACUGUAGGGGCUAAUGGAAUUCCGGGUGUAGCGGUGGAAUGCGUAGAGAUCCGGAAGAACACCAGUGGCGAAGGCGGUUAGCUGGGGCAGUUGCUGACACUGAGUGCGCGACAGCGUGGGAGCAAACAGG
rnacentral:rRNA from 1 species